rnacentral:lncRNA from 1 species
CUGUAUCUACAUAAAAUGAACAUGCAUGUAUACAUACACAAAACACACAAAGAGAAAACUCACCAUUUUUUAUUUUCUUGGGCUUGUUGAUGGGUAGCAGAUCUUUGCCAUUAAAGGAAUUGAAGCCUAUAACUCAGAAAUUGUAUCAAAUCCAGCCCAUAAUUCUUCUGUGGUUAAUUUUCCUCUCUUAUUGAUGAUGGGUUCAGGUAAUAAUUGCAUUUUGUGUGUAUGUUCAGUUCUUGAGAUUUGAGAAGGUGAUAGAUACAGAAAGAAAUGUGUAUGAUAGUAUGAGUAGGUUGCUGAGAGAGAG